AAAAGUGCUUACAGUGCAGGUAGUGGCGAUGCCCAGCCUACCUGCAGUAUGAGCACUUCUUUCA
ensembl:miRNA microRNA 106b